rnacentral:rRNA from 1 species
CGAUGUCGGCUCACCGCAUCCUGGAGGUGUAGAAGCUUCCAAGGGUUGGUCUGUUCGCCCAUUAAAGCGGUACGUGAGCUGGGUUCAGAACGUCGCGAGACAGUAGAAUUAAGAGUCCUGCGGUCUCACCCUUUAGACGUUCAAUUAAAAAGAACCAAUUUAAUAUUUUUACUUUUUGUCCAAAUUAAUAAAUGAAGGGAUAUAAAUCUGGCUAUAUGCUGGAAAGUCUUGUAAAAUGAUAAAGUACUAGUAUAUAAUCUAUUUACUAGUAAAAAUCUUUAUUCUGAGACAAUCAGCAGGAAAGACUAGAUAAUAUGUCUUUAUCAAAUGAUUAUUUUGUUGGUUUUGUUGAAGGAGAAGGUAUGUUCUAUAUAGGGAUAGUUCCUUCGAAAGAAACAAAAUCAGGCUGGCAAGUAAUUUAUUUCUUCAAAGUUUCUCAAAAUCCAUCAGGAAAAGAGGUUCUUGAAGAACUAAAGAAAAGAUUAUCUUGUGGUUAUAUUAAAGCAAAUAGUCAAACUGAUAAAACUGAUAAAUCACUAGCUUAUGUCGUUCGUGAUUUAUCAAGUUUAAGAGACAAAGUUAUUCCAUUUUUUGAUAAAAAACUAAUUAUCAAAAAAGAUGCUUUUGAAAAAUUCAAGAAAGUUAUAUUUCUUGUAGAUAAAAAGGAGCAUUUAAAUAAAAGUGGAAUCAGGAAGAUUAUUAAUAUUUCAUAUUCUAUGAAUACCCAAAAAAGGAGAUUCACCGAAGAACAAAUAUUAAAAUCUUAUUUGUAAUCUAGAAUCCUCACAGGCCAUACGCCAGAGUACGUUCGGUUUACAUGAACGUACAAGAUAUGGUCGGACCCCCAUGGUGACAUGGGGAAUCAACGGGAAAAUAAAACUGGUUGAUUCAUCUUAAUGAUGAUAACAAUAAUGUCGGACUCUAUCCGGUACAAGCGUUGAGUCUUGAGGAGAGCUCUCCCCAGUACGAGAGGACCGGGAGGGGAGAAUCCCUGGUGUGCCGGUUGUUACGUCAGUAGCAACGCCGGGUAGCUAUAUUCUUUUGCGAUAACCGCUGAAAGCAUCUAAGUGGGAAGCCAACUCCAAGAUUAGGACUCGUUAUAGAUCCCCUGUAGACCACAGGGUUAAUCGGCAAGCGGUGGAAGUGGUGUAAAUCAUUAAGCCUACUUGUGCGAAUAGAUCGAAUGACUUG